GGCAGGGAACACACCUGCAUGUGGGGUGAGAUUUGUAUUGGCAGAGAUGGCUUUGGCAGAGAUGUCUUUUUCCAGGUAUCCUAAUUUUUGCCUUGUGCAACAGGCAAACAUUUUCUAGGUUUUGUCAAGAAGUUGACAUCCUGCUACUGCUCUACCUGAAUUUAUAAACUGAAGUAUAUCAAUUUUUGAACUUCUAUUAAGGAAAAUUUCCAGUAGAAGUAGUACAAUACCCGUAUCUCAGCUCCAAAAGUGAUCAGUUCGUGGUCAGCCUACCUUGUUCAUACCUACCAAUUCACCAUUCUACUUUGCACGCUUAUUUGGAAGAAAAUCCCAGACAACUGAUUUCAUCCCCAACUAUUUCAGUCUAAAAGGGUUCUAGGUUCCUGGAGCUCAAAACGGGGACCAGAGACCUGUAAACAACAGCCAAGGAGUAGCAAACUGGAAAAGGAAGGCCUUCAGAAAUUAGAAGAAAUGCAAUUUACUGACCAAGCCUCCCUCUGCAACAGAAAAAAGAACCUUCCCUCUUAUCUGGGUUCAGAACUGGCAAGCAACAUCGGUGUGGGCACUUCAUAAACAUUCACUGACCAAAACGUCGACAGUGCAAAGCAACCAUUCUGUUAUUUCAAGAACCCUUCUGAAAUGCCAGUGAUUGAAGCAGGAUCUUGACUAUCCUUUGCAAAUCUUGAAGAAGAAAAGCCCCAUUCAGCUGGCCACAUGGAAUAAAACAAGCACAGUGGAUUAACCUCUCCUGGAGCUGGGACAUAUUCUCAAAGAGCAGAGCAAACCGAAGCAGUGGGUAGGAUUUUUAAGUGACUACUCCCAAAACAUCCCAAGCAAUGGGGAUUCAGUGCCUCCACCUUGUAGGGAAAAAAACCACCUUACUUCACUUUGCACGGACAUGCAGGCUGUGCCUAUGAACAGAAAUGGCUGAAGCUGGCAUGGCGGGUGGGCGGGCUGGAGGGGGCAGUUGGUUUUAGUCAACAUAAACCAACCCGAUCGUGAUGUAUCAGUCGAGCUGAAAGACAUUCAGGGAGAACAUGGUGAAACCAAUGGGUUGUUACGUUGCCGGGUCAAGGUCUGCUUGUUUUGGCCCGGGUACACCUGGCCUUGGCCAGUGUGAUCUCGAUAAACAGAAAGGAAUCCACCUCCAUAACCGCAGCCCAGACAGCCUGUGUUGGUGAAGCCGGGGUCUGGCUGAAUUGGACUAGGAUGGCUUGGAGACCUUCCAUCAGAGAGCUGGGCUCUGUCUGCCCCUACAGGACCUCUUCUGCUGGUUCCUUAUAAGAAGUACUCUUCCUGUGUCAGUGGUUGGCUGACACAGGCCGGAGCAGGGGUGGGGCAGCCGCAACUUGGGUGUGGGCGUGAGCUGUCUUCAGCCUGGAACAGGACAGCUCUAUUUCCUUACACCAGCUUCCUAUCCCCGGCACCAUGCUGCCCCGCCCGCCAUGAGUAGCCUCACAUUUUUCUCAGCCACAGAGGGGUGGUGGGGCGAGUGCCUCCUUCCUGUCCCCAGUCCUCCGUGCUGGAUCCAGUUUCACAACACACACACACACACACACUCAACACACUCACACACUCCUCCAUGAGGAUGGCUGACAGCUGAAGCCCACAUCAGGGCAUCAACCCCCUAGUCAGCCUGGUGGUGCCUGCACAGCCAGGGAGUCCCCAGGAAAACUACUUCACUUGACACAGCUUUAGCCCCCUGACCUUGGCCUCACAUAUAGGCCUCUACUUCUAGUGCCCACCCCUCCCACCUGCCCCUACUACCACCUCUGACCUUAUCCAAAUCUGCCCUUCCAUUUGUCCCUCAGAUACUGCUUGACUGUGUAUAUGUGCAAGACAGACCCCUCCUGGGAGAGGUAGGCUGUGGAGCUCUCCUCUCAAACCCAAAGACCGGGGAAGGAAAAGAGCAUGAACUGAGUCUUUGCUUUGUGCCAGGAGCUUUAGAAGCAUGAUCUUUAUUAAUCUGGCCCUGCUACCUUAGAGGAAGGCCCCAUUAUUACCAGAAGAGCUGGCGCCAUGUGGAGGUCAAGAGCAGGGAUGCUGCUGCCUGCAUUUCAAGUCCGGGUUUGUAACCUUGGGAAGGUGAUUUGACCUACAGGCCACGUCACCAGGAAAACGAGAAUCAGGUUACUGUGAGCAUUAAAUGAGUUAAUUCAUGUAAAAAGUGCUAAGAGCAACCCUACAGAAGUGUGAGUCACUGUUACAUAAUAUCAGCUACUGUGUGUUCAAGAUGAGAAAAGGGAGGCCACACAAGCACGGGUAGAGCCUAGGUUCUGGUGGGCUCCAUACCAGGGCCCUCCCUGCAUUACAUGCUGCUUUGCUUUGAUACUAGUGUGUCACCCCCUUUCAGGGAGAGUUCCCUUUGGCCAACACCCGGAGCCUUAAAAGUGAGUGUGGAAGAGAAACUGGAGAACAGGAGCCACAGAGUCUCGUCUGGGCUCCAGAAGUUGCGUCCCGGAGAGCUGAGGAUUACCAGUGACCAGCAGUGCUCCUGUCCCCAUCUCUGGGCAGGAAGGUCCUGUUGGUUGUGGUUCUGGAGAGAGCUGGCCCUGUCACCUGCUCCUUCCUCUCCUCAGAAGCAGGCUGAGACCCCAGGAUUCCAUCCCUCCUCCUCAUCCCUGCCCUCACCCCCAUCCUAGAAACAGCGUUGUUUUUCCUCAAAAUAUGUCAGAUGUUCAAUUUAAACCUAACCCCACCUGCUCCAAAGCACAU